GCAGAGAGUAGACCGCCUAAGUUUGUCGCGCUACGGUGCGCAAACCGGUAAGGGUGAAAGGGUGCGGUAAGAGCGCACCGCGCUACUGGUAACAGCUAGCGGCAAGGUAAACCCCACCCGGAGCAAGGCCAAAUAGGAAUCCUAAGGUGUGGCUCGCACUGGAUUCGGGUAGGCUGCUAGAGGCUUGUGGCGACGCAGGCUUUAGAUGAAUAACUGCCCCCGACAGAACCCGGCUUACAGGCUGGCUCAAUUU
rnacentral:RNase_P_RNA from 1 species